UGGGGAAUUUUGGACAAUGGGCGAAAGCCUGAUCCAGCAAUGCCGCGUGUGUGAAGAAGGCCUUCGGGUUGUAAAGCACUUUUGUCCGGAAAGAAAUCCUUGGCUCUAAUACAGUCGGGGGAUGACGGUACCGGAAGAAUAAGCACCAGCUAACUACGUGCCAGCAGCCGCGGUAAUACGUAGGGUGCAAGCGUUAAUCGGAAUUACUGGGCGUAAAGCGUGCGCAGGCGGUUUGCUAAGACCGAUGUGAAAUCCCCGGGCUCAACCUGGGAACUGCAUUGGUGACUGGCAGGCUAGAGUAUGGCAGAGGGGGGUAGAAUUCCACGUGUAGCAGUGAAAUGCGUAGAGAUGUGGAGGAAUACCGAUGGCGAAGGCAGCCCCCUGGGCCAAUACUGACGCUCAUGCACGAAAGCGUGGGGAGCAAACAGGAUUAGAUACCCUGGUAGUCCACGCCCUAAACGAUGUCAACUAGUUGUUGGGGAUUCAUUUCCUCAGUAACGUAGCUAACGCGUGAAGUUGACCGCCUGGGGAGUACGGUCGCAAGAUUAAAACUCAAAGGAAUUGACGGGGUCAUAGCUGUUUCCUG
rnacentral:rRNA from 1 species